ensembl:snoRNA LOC120101247 small nucleolar RNA SNORA44
CAGCGUAUAGCCAAGGGCCAUGGCUGUUUGUAGCCAUGGGAUCUCCCACUGUAGGCCAGAGUAACUGGGGAGACUUGGACAGCUCAGGUCAGCACAGUGUCUGGGGCUGCCACCCAGCUUUCCUAUACAU